GAUGAAGAACGCAGCGAAAUGCGAUAAGUAAUGUGAAUUGCAGAAUUCAGUGAAUCAUCGAAUCUUUGAACGCACAUUCCGCCCGCCAGUAUUCUGGCGGGCAUGCCUGUUCGAGCGUCAUUUCAACCAUCAAGCCCUGCUUGCGUUGGGGUCCUGCGGCUGCCCGCAGGCCCUGAAAACCAGUGGCGGGCUCGCUAGUCACACCGAGCGCAGUAAUACAUCUCGCUUUGGGCGUGCGGCGGGUUCUUGCCGUUAAACACCCCCUUUUUACCAAGGUUGACCUCGGAUCAGGUAGGAAUACCCGCUGAACUUAAGCAUAUCAAUAAGCGGAGGA
rnacentral:misc_RNA from 1 species